rnacentral:rRNA from 1 species
AACUACACAUAAGAGGUCCUGCCUGCCCUGUGACCCCCCAGUUUAACGGCCGCGGUAUUUUAACCGUGCGAAGGUAGCGCAAUCACUUGUCUCUUAAAUGAGGACCUGUAUGAAUGGCAUUUACGAGGGCUUAACUGUCUCCUUUCCCCGGUCAGUGAAAUUGAUCUUCCCGUGCAGAAGCGGGACUUCUAACAUAAGACGAGAAGACCCUAUGGAGCUUUAGACUAUACAACAGACCAUAAAAAACAACCUCCCUAAAAUAGGUAAUAAUUAUUGGACUACUGUUCCCCUGUCUUUGGUUGGGGCGACCACGGGGAAGAAAAAAACCCCCAUGUGGACCAGGAGCACAGUUACUUUUACUCCUACAACCAUGAGCCACAGCUCUAAUGCACAAAAUCUUUGACCAUUAGAUCCGGCAAAGCCGAUCAACGGACCAAGUUACCCUAGGGAUAACAGCGCAAUCCCCUUUAAGAGUCCAUAUCGACAAGGGGGUUUACGACCUCGAUGUUGGAUCAAGACAUCCUAAUGGUGCAGCCGCUAUUAAGGGUUCGUUUGUUCAACGAUUAAAGUCUU